rnacentral:rRNA from 1 species
AUUGAACGCUGGCGGCAGGCCUAACACAUGCAAGUCGAGCGGAUGAAGGGAGCUUGCUCCUGGAUUCAGCGGCGGACGGGUGAGUAAUGCCUAGGAAUCUGCCUGGCAGUGGGGGAUAACGUCCGGAAACGGGCGCUAAUACCGCAUACGUCCUGAGGGAGAAAGGGGGGGAUCUUCGGACCUCACGCUAUCAGAUGAACCUAGGUCGGAUUAGCUAGUUGGUGGGGUAAAGGCCUACCAAGGCGACGAUCCGUAACUGGUCUGAGAGGAUGAUCAGUCACACUGGAACUGAGACACGGUCCAGACUCCUACGGGAGGCAGCAGUGGGGAAUAUUGGACAAUGGGCGAAGGCCUGAUCCAGCCAUGCCGCGUGUGUGAAGAAGGUCUUCGGAUUGUAAAGCACUUUAAGUUGGGAGGAAGGGCAGUAAGUUAAUACCUUGCUGUUUUGACGUUACCAACAGAAUAAGCACCGGCUAACUUCGUG